GCUCUUUUUGUGGUGUGUAUACUAAAUUAAAACAAUACUGAGAAGAUUUGCUUGGCCCCUGCACAGGAACAGCACAGAAAUUCAUGAAGCAUUUCAUAUUUGU